UGGGAACGUACCCUUUGGUUCGGAACAACCCAGGGAAACUUGGGCUAAUACCGGAUAAGUCCGUAAGGAGAAAGAUUUAUCGCCAAAGGAUCGGCCCGCGUCUGAAUAGCUAGUUGGUAGGGUAAUGGCCUACCAAGGCUACGAUCAGUAGCUGGUCUGAGAGGAUGAUCAGCCACAUUGGGACUGAGACACGGCCCAAACUCCUACGGGAGGCAG
rnacentral:rRNA from 1 species